rnacentral:snRNA from 1 species
GGGUGUGAGGGUAGUCUGGCCACAUCUGUCACCUCAUUGAUCGCCACACUGGCUUCAUUAGUUCUGGCUGGCUAGGCGGAAGUCCCCUUCCUCCCUUACCUCUCCUUGUUUCUCCUCUUCAGCUGCACGCUGUCAAAGCUGGCGUCUUUCCCUAAUAGACUGCGCUAUUCUUUGGAGAAGAGGAUAUACUAUCGAGGAAUAAGCUCACUUGACUCAAGAGCCCCUUAAAUCAUCUUAGUUCCAACAUGGUCUAAGCAAAAUAUAAUAUAAGCCUGUCUAAAAUACUAUGUGAAACUUCUUGGUACAAUUAAUAUUUUU